AACGAACGUUGGCGGCAUGGAUUAGGCAUGCAAGUCGAACGAAUCCCGGCCCCGCAAGGGGUCGGGGGAAGUGGCGAAAGGGGCAGUAAUACCUGGAUAACCUACCCUGGGGAUGGGCAUAGCCGGCCUAACGGCCGGGUAAUACCCAGCGAUUCGGCGGCGGUGGCAUCACCGCUCCGGGAAAUGAGUUUCGCCUCGGGAGGGGGUCCAGGCGCUAUCAGGUAGUUGGUGGGGUAACGGCCCACCAAGCCUUAGACGGCUAGCGGGUGUGAGAGCACGACCCGCGCCACUGGCACUGAGACACUGGCCAGACACCUACGGGUGGCUGCAGUCGAGGAUCUUCGUCAAUGGGCGCAAGCCUGAACGAGCGAUGCCGCGUGAGCGAUGAAGGCCUUCGGGUUGUAAAGCUCAAAAGGGGUGAGAAAGGGCAACUUGAUCGAACCCCAGUAAGCUCGGGCUAAGUUCGUGCCAGCAGCCGCGGUAAGACGAACCGAGCGAGCGUUGUUCGGAAUCACUGGGCUUAAAGGGCGCGUAGGCGGGUGCUCAAGUCCGGGGGUGAAAUCCUCCAGCUCAACUGGAGAAGUGCCUUGGAUACUGAUUUGCUCGAGGGAGGUAGGGGUCGAGGGAACUUCUGGUGAGCGGUGAAUGCGUU
rnacentral:rRNA from 1 species